CGAGCUGGCAGUGGGACGGCGUCGUAUUUUUGAUAAUCCCUAUUUUCGUUUACGAGGAUCCGCUCACCGCAAGUGGAAAAGGAUUCCUUGAUCCCGGAAAUAAUUUUUCUACUUUCAAUCACAUUCACGGUACACGGGACCACAACGGAGAAGUAGAAAAGAAGAAAGGAACAGGACCAAGCGUUCCUCCCUUCUAAGCUUGCCAACAAUGGCGGCGACGAAGCGCAAAGGAACCAACUCUGACUCUGAUGGAAUGAACGCAAGGGUUUGGCUUUAUUCAAUUUUACUCACUCUUCAAUACGGAGCUCAGCCUCUGAUCUCCAAGCGUUUCACCAGGCGAGAAGUUAUCGUUACUACCUCUGUCUUGACAUGUGAGAUAGCUAAGGUAAUAUGUGCCCUGAUUCUCAUGGCAAAAAAUGGUAGUUUGAAGAAAUUAUCCAAUGAAUGGACUUUGGUCGGUUCUCUCACUGCAUCAGGACUUCCUGCAGCUAUUUAUGCUGUACAAAACAGCUUGCUGCAGAUUUCUUACAAGAAUCUUGAUUCACUUACAUUUUCAAUGCUGAACCAGACAAAAAUAUUUUUCACUGCAUUGUUUACGUUUAUAAUAUUGAGGUAUGUUUCCCAAUGUUAGUUUUGUCAAAUGUUCAUCUCUUUUGAAUGGUUUUAAGAUUAAAAUGUUGAUACUCAUUACCCAAACAUUUAAUAUUAUAAAAGCAAGAAACUAAUUUGUGUUUAUGUUCUUUUUGUCCUUGGUUUUGUGGGAUGGUCCACUGAGCAUCUGGCUCAUUGAUUUCAAACUUCCUAUUCUGUUACCAUAUGAUUCCUUUAAUGGUUGAUUAUCUGUCAUAUUGUUCACAAAUAUUGCGAGAAAGAUCAGAAAUUAUUAUUUAUUCUCCAUGCAAAUGGCAUGUAUCAGUAGCUUGGCAUUCUAUUUCUUGAAAUACUAUUCUGGACAAGGUUAACAAGGUCAUAUUCCAUCCUGAAACUGAAGCUACUAUACAGAAGCUAUUUUUUUGGGUAUGUUCCUUGAGCAUAUGACCUUUUAUGAGUGACCUAUUUUUCUUUUGUAACAUAAAUGAGGCCAUGUCUAGUAUUAGAGAAACAAAGCACGUUAGAAAUUAUAUAGAAAGCUGAUUUGUAUGGGGAAUAAAAUUGGACUUCAUUUGCUACUUUUGACUAUAAUACCAUUUGUUUUUAUUUCGUUUCCCUUUUCUUUUGGUUUUGAUUUUUCUGCUAAUCAGGCAGAAAGACAUGAUAAAGUGCAUAUAGUGGAUAAAGACUAUGUAUAUUUAGGAUUCCUGGGUCAUGUGGAAGCUCCAUUUACCUUAAUUCCUAGCCUGAAUGUGUAGGCAGAAGCAGUCAAUCCAACAAAUUGGCGCUUUGUUCUUGUUAAUCAUGGCAGCUGUUCUUCUUAGCGUUGGUGAAGGCUCCAGCAAAGGCUCCAGUAGUAGUAACCCUGAUCAAAUUCUAUUUUAUGGGAUUGUUCCUGUUCUUGUUGCCUCUGUUCUUUCCGGCCUUGCUUCAGCUUUGUGUCAAUGGGCUUCUCAGGUUAAGAAACAUUCUUCAUACUUGAUGACUGUAGAAAUGUCUAUUGUUGGAAGCUUGUGCCUGCUGGUCAGCACCACUAAGUCUCCAGAUGGUGAAGCUAUUAGACGAUAUGGAUUCUUUCAUGGUUGGACUCCAUUGACUAUGAUUCCAGUGAUAGCCAAUUCUCUUGGAGGAAUACUUGUUGGCCUGGUAACAAGCCAUGCUGGGGGUGUUAGAAAGGGAUUUGUCAUUGUUUCUGCACUACUUGUAACAGCUAUGCUGCAGUUUAUUUUCGAAGGGAAACCACCGUCAUUGUAUUGUUUGCUGGCCCUACCACUCGUCAUUAUCAGUAUUGCAAUAUACCAAAAAUAUCCAUAUAGGGUAAAAAAGAAGGAAUCAUGAUCUAAACUUCGCGGUAGCAGGGGAAUUAUUGGCUCAUCCCAGUUCGUGAAGUUUUUAUUAUUUUUACAGAUCCCAGAUUUUCAGAGGAAAGUUGAAUGUAUUCUUUAGAAGUGUAUUCACGACUACCAGAUUAGGGCACAAAGAAGGCAUACAAUGCAUUCACAAAAUUGAUGAACAUUAUAUUUUCUUCAUGAGAUCUGGAAUUAAGCAUUGAUUGCAGGGAAAUGAAAGAGAAUAGGGCGGUGUCUGAUUAUUGACCCUUUGGACAAUGCACAAUUGUUGAAUGAAUGAUGAAUAUAGGUGGUUGAAAUCUCAACUUAAGCAAUAACUUCAAAGUGUUCGUAGAAAUCAAUGCACGGUUG
rnacentral:misc_RNA from 1 species